GAUGAACGCUGGCGGCGUGCCUAAUACAUGCAAGUAGAGCGAACAGACGAGGAGUUUGCUCCCCUGACGUUAGCGGCGGACGGGUGAGUAACACGGGGAUAACCUACCUAAAAGACGGGGAUCACUUCGGGAAACCGGCUCAUACCCCGGAAAAUAUAUUGAACCGCAUGGUUCAAUAAUGAAAGACGGUUUCGCUGCUACUUAUAGAUGGAUCCGCGCAGCAUUAGCUAGUUGGUAAGGUAACGGCUUACCAAGGCAACGAUGCGUAGCCGACCUGAGAGGGUGAUCGGCCACACUGGAACUGAGACACGGUCCAGACUCCUACGGGAGGCAGCAGUAGGGAAUCUUCCGCAAUGGGCGGAAGCCUGACGGAGCAACGCCGCGUGAGUGAUGAAGGUCUUCGGAUCGUAAAACUCUGUUAUUAGGGAAGAACAAGUGUGUAAGUAGCUAUGCAAGUCUGGGCGGUACCUUAUCAGAAAGCCACGGCUAACUACGUG
rnacentral:rRNA from 1 species